UAAGUUGCAUACUUGCAACUUAGUCUUGAAGUGGGCUCGCUGUGAAUUAUCUUUUCAUCUCUCUCUCUCUCUCUCGCCCAUUCACAGUCCCGACCUCAAACCCUAGCAUCUCCUCUCUCUCUCGCCCCUCUCUCUCUCUCUUCUUCAGAUCUAACAUUGCUAAGGUUGGAAUUCCGCCGUUUUCACUGUUGUUCGAAGGAAUGUUGGCGUUAUCAUAUGAAAUUGAGCGAAUUUGGUGCCGAUUUACACUCUCAUCAAGAAUUCCAGAGUAGGAGAAGCAAAGCCACACGAGUUGAACCACGAUUCUUCCAGUUUGUUGCAUAGUAGGCAAGGUAAUAAUUGGAAACUAGUGUGACACUGAAGGGUACUACUUAUUCUUUUACCUUCACCUCGUCGAUUGCGGAGUUUCUACUGCUUUUGCGUCAAAAGACAUCCUUGGUAAUGUUCUUGGUGGAUUGUCUAUGCAAUUCUCAAAGCCCUUUUCAUUUGGAGAUACAAUCAAGGCUGGAUCAAUAGAAGGUCAAGUGACGGAGAUGGGUUUAACUACAACUUCGUUAUUGAAUGCUGAAACGUUUCCAGUAACAGUUCCAAACUCUAUGUUUUCUAAUCAGGUCAUCGUUAACAAGUCUCGAGCUGGGUGACGUGCUUAUAUCAGUAAAAUUUCAUUGCAGUUCGACAAUUUGGAGAAAGUUCCUCAGAUUUCAACUGACAUAAAGUCAAUGCUAGAGUCAUAUCCCAAAGUUUUUUUGGGACGUGAGGCUCCUUACUGUUAUCUCUCUCAAAUUGAUAGUUCAUAUGCUGAACUGACUCUUGGAUGCAAUCUCAAACAACUGAAAAAAUCUCAAACGAAGGAGAACGAAAAUUACGGAGAAGGAGAACUCGCUGCUCUCUACCACGGCGAGUUUCCGAAUGCCGAUGCUUCCAAUGCCGCUGCUAUCAAGGAUUCUAAAUCUCAGUACCCGGAAGAGGUUGGAUGAACUUGUAGAUGAAGCUGGUGUGCCUCGUUAAAUGCAGGGGAAAUUCGAGCAUGAGAUGGGGAUUCCUAAAGGGCUAAAGGCGGCACUUUUGCCUUGUACUCAUUGCUAUGCCGGCAUGCAAACCUUGGUGUUCUUCAUACCGAUGAGAAGUUAUCUGCAAUAUAUCUAUUGAGGGAUCCGAGCAGACAGCAAGGAUUUCUGCCUUCAAGCUACCAUUUGAAAAGCAUGAAAGAUUUCAUAAAGCGUUGCUGAUCUUUGUGGUUUCCUGCAUCAUUUUGGUAGUCCUGCUUUCUCUCCAACAUCAUGGAACACAUAGGGUUUCUUUCAUGUUUGCACCAAUUGUUUUAGCAUAGCUCCUUUGUAUCAGCAGCAUCGGUGUUUGUAAUAUUAUAAGGUGGUCAUUUUGUGUUUAUUGAUUUAGUCAGGUACUGAGUAUUGUUCAUCGGAUUGUUUUAAUUAGGAUAGAAAUGUUGAUGUAAUAUCUAGAUUGAUUGAAUAUCAACUGUUGGUUUGGCUUAGAAUGUGAUGGUGGCUUGGUGUUUAUUGCUAUAAUCA